rnacentral:lncRNA from 1 species
UUUAUUUUAGUUUACUAUUUUAUUUUAUUUUGUUUUGUUUUAUUUUAUUUUGUUUAACUUUAUUUUGUUUUAUUUUAUUUCGUUUUAUUUUGUUUUAUCAAGCUUAAAUCAAAAACAAAAAACAAUAUUCAUGGAUACAUAUAUGCACCCCCGCCCUUUUUACAAAAAAAUGAAGACAAAAGGACAAAAGCCCAAGUAGCAAUGAGCAUAGUCGACCCAACCGAAUCCGAAGACAUGGCGGGCGCCAUAGGCUUCAUGGCGGGCGCCAUGACGUAACAGGCAGAUUUCCCCUUUUC